rnacentral:rRNA from 1 species
CAGACAUACCAACGGGAAAUCAACCUUUUGAGUUCGGUCUUGUGGGUUUGAAGAGUUUCAAAGCCUUCGGAUUUGUGAGAUUGGGAUCUCUUGGUGCUACUUUUUCGUACGGUUAGUCAACAUCAAUUUUGGUCGUCAUAAAAUGACUGGAGGAAUGUAGCUUUGGUCUCGUAUCGAAGUGUUAUAGACUCUGGUAGAUGUGACG